AUUUGUUUCCUUUGAGUUGCGGCUGCCAGGAUGGCUUGUGGAUGGAGCCAUGCAGAUGCCACCACCAGCAAGUCAUGUAUGCUAUUUCAACCGGCAUGCUGAUAAGACACAUCUGUUUGUAUAGGAUAAAACCAGGUAGAUCACUGCUUCUCUUUAAAUGAGACCACCUGGCUGGGUUGUGCAUCGGAAGAUUACUUGGAAAUUAAGCGU